rnacentral:lncRNA from 1 species
GUUUUUAUUCCCAGAACCCAACAGGCAACUGUGACUCCUGGAGCCGUGGUACAGCCCGCGGAACAGAGCAACGGGAGGAUCCGACCUGCCCCCAAACCGCCCGACUGUUCCAGGUGGAGAGACCCGUCUCCCGGUCUGGGGGGUUCGGGGGACAGGUUUGGGGACACGAAGAUCGUCGUUCUGUGGCUGUGGUUCAGGGCAGCUGCACAGCUCUGUGGUCUGGGGCUUGUGUGGUGAGGCUGCGGCCCCGGGGCAGAGCCCCGACUCGGUCGGGGUGGAGGGGGGAUGAUGCUGCAGGAACGGUGACUCUGAGCCUCCCGGGCUCACGUCCACCAAGUUUCAUUUCUUUUUCUGCUGUGCAUCCACAGCCUUGGCUCUGCGCUGCCCCGGGGAAGGGGGAUCCCUCGUCUGCACGCCCCUCCACCAGCAACAGGUGCCGCAGAGGGAAUACGAUUCUGGGGGGUCUUGCACCAGCUGUUAAGAUCUCUGGCCCAGAGGUGGCUCAGGUCACUUGCCCUGACAGUUCGGAGGCUCCAGCAAGCACGAGGGGGGCCGGGAGAUGCACCCCUGCUGGUGCCCAGGGGGUGAGGAGGGGCGCAUUGGAUGAGCAGCAACCCAGCCCGCCACGCCCCCUUUCUCAGCCGAAACCUCCUACCCCAGCCCUAGCCCAGCCCUACCCCCUCCACUCUCCACGGGGCUCCACCCCCUGCCCCCUCGAGCCGUAUCCUUGGGGUGUGCAGGGGGCUCGCGUGAGAGAGACAGAGACAGACACAGAGAGAUGCCCAGAGACAGAGAGAAUGCAGUCCUGAGCUCUUUCCUCAAGAAACAAAUGACUCCUUGACAUUCCCAACCCAUUACCAAGGUACUUCGGUCUCUGGUCUCUUUCAUUACGCGCAAACCGCUGUUAUUAUUAUUGUUUAUCUUUUUUUUUUUUUUAUCAUUUAUAGGACCUAACAGGUGUGUGCCGCUCUCAUCCCUGGCUAAGACUGACGCUGCUCGGCUCCGGCCCGG